rnacentral:rRNA from 1 species
CUCACUCGAUGCGGAGCCUGGGGGAAUAAUGUUGAAACGAUCAAGGGAAAACUUACCCGGCCCGGACACUGGAAGGAUUGACAGAUUGAGAGCUCUUUCUUGAUUCAGUGGGGUGGGUGGUGCAUGGCCGUUCUUAGUUGGUGGAGCGAUUUUGUCUUGGUUAAAUUCCGAUAACGAACGAGACUCUAGCCUACUAAAUUGACUGUUUAAGUUUUUUAAGCCGGAAUCAACCGGGUUGCGUAAUUUUCGGGUUUGCGUAUUCGGCUCUUGGUAACGCUGGCAGAAUUUCUUAAAAGGGACAGGCGGCGGUUAACCGCACGACAAGAACAUUACAGUUCGUGAUUGCCUUUGAUGUCCGGGCUGCACACCCGCUAAUUGAGUGAUCAGGUGCAAAUUACUUUUGGGUCCGUCAGAUUCCAACCGUGAACUUCUUCGGUUGGAUAGGAUUUUUAUAUCUCUUUGACAGGAAUUCCAGUAAGCAAGCAAAGCUGCGUAAUAACGCUGGGCUUUGAACCCCCC